GGCAACGCGAAGAACCUUACCUACUCUUGACAUCCAGAGAACUUUCCAGAGAUGGNUUGGUGCCUUCGGGAACUCUGAGACAGGUGCUGCAUGGCUGUCGUCAGCUCGUGUUGUGAAAUGUUGGGUUAAGUCCCGCAACGAGCGCAACCCUUAUCCUUUGUUGCCAGCGGUCCGGCCGGGAACUCAAAGGAGACUGCCAGUGAUAAACUGGAGGAAGGUGGGGAUGACGUCAAGUCAUCAUGGCCCUUACGAGUAGGGCUACACACGUGCUACAAUGGCGCAUACAAAGAGAAGCGACCUCGCGAGAGCAAGCGGACCUCAUAAAGUGCGUCGUAGUCCGGAUUGGAGAGUAGCUAU
rnacentral:rRNA from 1 species